CCCAAAGCCUGACUUGGAGUGUUUGGUGAGCAGACCUGCUAGCUACUGGUGUGAACCAGACACCCAAUACUCUGGUAGAAGUGUGGAGUUUUGUGCACACACACCUGAUAUCGUGUGUGUUUGAGCUUUAAAGCGCUGGUUGUAGCCCUGAAGUGCACUGUGUGAUUGGUGACCAGGAGCAGCGGUUUCAGGUGAGGGAAGCAGUGAGCAGCAGCGGUGGCUGCGCUCCGGAAUCAUUUUGGUGAUUUAACCCCCAAUUCCAACCCUUGAUGCUGAGUGCCAAGCAGUGAGCCAUGGCCAUGUUUACUGCUGGCUCUCUGCCAGACCGGCCUCCACGUGGAGAGACCGCAUUGAGCGUCGGGAUGGAUGAGCUUCACGGAGUCCUGGCUGAAUGAGCAUGCAUCGGACACUUUGGUCUCCUUGGACGGGCAGCCUAGGACGUCUCGGACUCUCUUGGUUGCUUUGUUGGGUCUGUUCCUGUCUCUGGCCGUGCGCCCCCCAACUCCAACAAAGAAUGUCGUGGUAUACAGUAUGUGGGAGUUGAAAUUGUGUUUUUGUUUUAUUUUGUUGUUUGUCUAGGCAUGAUGCAAUCAUAUGUGUGUAAUUUCUAUUAUUUAUUGCUUUUGUAGCUGUAUGUAGAAAUUGUGCCGCUGAAGUGGCAGCUAGUUGCAACAGCUCUGUUCUCUUUCAAUGUCUUUUAUGUCCUUUGUGUUCUUAAAUGUUUCCCUUUUGUUUUCAUGUUUUUUUUACCUUAUUUUUUGUAGACUUUUUGUAUCUGCACUGCAACCCCAUAAUUUUCCCAUUAUGGGAUAAAUUAAGUCUGUCUAUUUAUCUUAAAUGUAAGUGUUAAGCAGAAAGAAUAAUCAACCAUGGAUGACAAAAGGAUUAAAAAAUGCUUGUAAGAAGAAGAAUACACUAUAUAGAGAAUUUAUAGCACAAAGUACUAUAGAGGCAGAAAUUAAGUACAAAAAGUAUAAAAAACAAGUUAACAGACUUACUACGAUCAUGUAGAAAAGAAUAUUACAGUGAAUUAUUGGACAGGAACAAAAAUAAUAUGAGAGCAACAUGGGGCAUCCUCAAUAGCAUUAUUAAAAAUGGCACAAAGAGGGACUACCCUCAAUACUUUUUAGACGGAAAUUAAAAAAAAUGACAACAUAAAGGAAGUAGUUGAAAGCUUCAAUAAUUAUUUUGUAAAUAUUGGACCAAAAUUGGAAGAAAGGAUUCCAGACCCAGUUCCAAUUGACUAUGAUACCAUAGAGCGAAAUCCCAACUCCAUGUUCCUCAGUAAUGUGACACAGGAGGAAAUAGUUACAAUCGUUAAAAAAUGUAAAUCUAAGACUUCAAUUGAUUGUAAUGGAAUUGAUAUGGAAACGAUAAAAAAGGUUAUAGAAGAGAUCUCAGGACCAUUAAUGUAUAUUAGUAAUCUAUCAUUUCAAACAGGUACAUUCCCAAACAAAAUGAAAAUAGCUAAAGUUGCACCAAUUUAUAAGACUGGAGAUAAACAUCAAUUUACAAAUUAUAGACCUGUUUCUUUACUUCCACAAUUUCUAAAAUCAUUGAAAAACUGUUUAAUAACAGAUUAGAGAGUUUCAUAAAUAAAAAUAGAAUAAAAGAGAACCAAUAUGGAUACAGAGCUAAUGUUUCAACUUCAAUGGCUUUAAUUGAAAUUACAGAAUUACCAAUGCAAUAGACAGUAAAAAAAAACGUGCAGCAGCAGUUUUUAUGGAUCUAACUAAAGCAUUUGACACAAUUAAUCACAAUAUUUUAAUUAAAAAACUAGAACGGUAUGGCAUCAGAGGGUUAGUCUUAAACUGGAUAAGAAGUUAUCUAACGAACAGGAAACAAUACGUGGAUCUAGGCGAACACACGUCUACAACGCUAAAUAUAUCCUGUGGUGUACCUCAGGGAUCAAUACUAGGACCUAAAUUAUUCAAUCUCUAUAUAAAUGACAUUUGUAAAGUUACAAAAGAUUUAAAGUUAGUAUUAUUUGCGGAUGAUACAACAGUGUUUUGCUCAGGAGAGAACACACAGGAGAUAAUACAAAUAACAGAAGAAAUUAACAAAUUAAAAAGAUGGUUUGACAAAAACAGACUAUCAUUGAAUCUCAGUAAAACUAAGAUAAUGCUAUUUGGUAACAGUA